CGUCAAUUAAAUCGGACGAACUGUGCAACCAAACCGUGCCUUUCGAUAAGCGACCGAGCGCAACUUCUCGAGCUUUAAUGUGAAAAUACCACGGAAAGGUCUAUUUCCCUUCAAAAUUCGAAGUUUUACGACCUACGUGAAUUUGUGAAACGAUCAGCGGCGGGUCAGAUUACCCUGGAGAUCCCGUGUCGAAAGGUCUUAGGAUACUUUAAUAACAAUCUGAAUUAUUUCAUAUUGCAACAGCCUUCAACAUUGAAAUAACCUCAGAUUAUACGAUGUUUUAUGCAGAGAUGUUUUAUGUCGGAAACGCGAAAAUUCGCACAUUCAUCUGAUAUACGUAAUAGAAAUGGUCGCGUGAUUCAGCGUAAUUACAUAUUCCCAGUAUGACUGUACGAUGACGUGAUGUCUAAACACGAUGCAUAGAACUUUAUGCAGUUACUCGGGAUCUGAGACGAGCCAGAGAGACGAAGUCAUGGCUCACUCGGGGAGUUACAGCGCUGUUUGCGAAGUAAUAACUCCACUAACUCAAAUGCUAUUCUAUGGCUACAAACGUUACCUGACAUACGCUCAAAUUAUCGGUACACGUUUCCGAGACGCAGGUGUAUUUCUAACGCACCGAGAUACAAGAUGCACAAAUACGAUAUAAUCGCUAACAUGCGAAUCUUAAUGUGAUAACGAGAGACAAUGAGAUUCAGGUGGUUUUAUCGAGCAAGUCCCAGUCAAAAACACAGUUUUGUUUUAAAAUUUUAGACUGUAAUGAUGUUCUUUGAAGUAGUGAGAAGAAGUUCUUCAUUAAUUUUCUGAGAGGCACGUGCAAAAGAAACACAAAUAUGUAAAUUAAAUAAAGUAUAAAGUAAUUGAA